GUCUACGGCCAUGCCACCCCGAACAAGCCCGAUCCCGUCUGAUCUCAGAAGCUAAGCAGGGUCAGGCCUAGUUAGUACUUGGAUGGGAGAUCACCUACCAAGACCAAGUGCUGUAGUUG
rfam:Pteropus alecto contig34926, whole genome shotgun sequence.